UGGGAUCGAUGAUCGUUAUGGUAACUGGUUCGAUGGAAGCAAGGCCUACGCGAGAGAGGACGAAGAUGGUGGUCCGCGAUGGUGUUCUUGGCCGGUGAGGAGGAGGAGCGACAACCCUAGCUUGGUCGGCGGCGACUUGCGCGGGAGAGUGGCGUUGAAGGUGCCGGCAGCCUCGUCGAUUCAGGUCGUUGCGACGACGAGCGGUGAAGGCAGCGAGAACGGUAGGAUCUUAGAGUUGGGGCCGGUUCUGCGAAGAAGAAAGGACGAGAUGGCAGUCCGGCGUGAAGGGCGGUGGCUCUUCCGACGAAUGCAUCGGCGAAGCCGUGGACAGCCCCCUCGCAGCGGCCUUUUGAUCGGAGG
rnacentral:lncRNA from 1 species